rnacentral:rRNA from 1 species
CGACCGGCGCACGGGUGCGUAACGCGUAUGUAACCUACCUUUAACAGGGGGGAUAACACUGAGAAAUUGGUACUAAUACCCCAUAACACCUAAAGAGGCAUCUUUUUGGGUUGAAAGUUCCGGCGGUUAAAGAUGGACAUGCGUUGUAUUAGCUAGAUGGUGAGGUAACGGCUCACCAUGGCGACGAUACAUAGGGGGACUGAGAGGUUAACCCCCCACACUGGUACUGAGACACGGACCAGACUCCUACGGGAGGCAGCAGUGGGGAAUAUUGCACAAUGGGGGAAACCCUGAUGCAGCAACGCCGCGUGAGUGAAGAAGUAUUUCGGUAUGUAAAGCUCUAUCAGCAGGGAAGAAAAAGACGGUACCUGACUAAGAAGCACCGGCUAAAUACGUG